AACGCGAAGAACCUUACCCAGACUUGACAUACAGUGGAAGUUAGCAGAAAUGUUAACGCCUUUCGGGGCCGCUGAACAGGUGCUGCAUGGCUGUCGUCAGCUCAUGCCGUGAGGUGCUGGGUUAAGUCCCGCAACGAGCGCAACCCUUAUCGUUAGUUGCCAACAGGUAAUGCUGGGAACUCUAGCGAGACUGCCUGGGUUAACCAGGAGGAAGGUGAGGAUGACGUCAAGUCCGCAUGGCCCUUAUGUCUGGGGCUACACACGUGCUACAAUGGUCGGUACAAAAGGCAGCGAAACCGCGAGGUGAAGCAAAUCCCAAAAGCCGGCCUCAGUUCAGAUUGUAGUCUGCAACUCGACUACAUGAAGACGGAAUUGCUAGUAAUGGCAGGUCAGCAACACUGCCGUGAAUACGUUCCCGGGUCUUGUACACACCG
rnacentral:rRNA from 1 species